AAAGGAAUAGACGGGGGCCCGCACAAGCGGUGGAGCAUGUGGUUUAAUUCGACGCAACGCGCAGAACCUUACCCAGGCUAGAAAAGUAGAGAAGUCUGUAGAAAUACGGAUGUGCCUUUCGGGGAGCUCUAAUCCAGGUGCUGCAUGGCUGUCGUCAGCUCGUGUCGUGAGAUGUUGGGUUAAGUCCCGCAACGAGCGCAACCCUUGUCAUUAGUUGCUAACGGUUCGGCCGAGCACUCUAAUGAGACUGCCGGGGUUAACCCGGAGGAAGGUGGGGAUGACGUCAAGUCCUCAUGGCCCUUAUGUCUGGGGCUACACACGUGCUACAAUGGUCGGUACAAAGCGCAGCGAGCCCGCGAGGGGGAGCGAAUCGCAAAAAGCCGGCCUCAGUACGGAUUGCAGUCUGCAACUCGACUGCAUGAAGGCGGAAUCGCUAGUAAUCGUUGAUCAGCAGGCAACGGUGAAUACGUUCCCGGGCCUUGUACACACCGCCCGU
rnacentral:rRNA from 1 species